ensembl:lncRNA
AUUUACCCUGACUAAAGAAAUCAAGAGAAACGCACCGGGCUGCUCAGUGACUAACCACGGUUACUGUACUUUUAUUAUGAGUAUUAUACUGUAAGAGCAACGGGCUGGACUCUGCUUCUGCUCCUGUGCAGAGCUGAUUAUUAAAUAUGUGCAAACAGCAGCAUGUUUUCUGUCGCUUUCCACAUGUGGAAGGACAUUAAAGCCAACUUUUAAAUUCCCCUCAUUAGUCAAUAGCUACGGAUUAAAUAGCAAAGCCCGAUACUUAUGUACUGAAAUCAACUACUUCCGCUUGUCAGCUUAAGUUAAAAUGUUACAUUUUUCCCCUGAUUAUUAUUUUUAGCUUUUUUUUUUUUUUUUUACUGAGUUUGUUACAAAUAUUCAGGUUAAAAAACUGUCCAAAUUAUUUUUAAUGAAUUAUGUUCACAAAGUCACAUGUUCAGUACUCUGUACAGCUUGCAUCCUUUAGGACAAAUAAUUUGAAACGUUAAUAUUUCUUGUUCAAUACUGAGCUGAUAACACCUCUGUAUGUUGUGACCAGGAUGCAGCAGCAGACUGAACCUCGACUGAAACCUGCUCCAUCAUCUCAUCUUUGCAGAUGUCCAUUUAUAAAGCAUCAACAACUCAAAGGAGCUGACCUCAGAUUCAGACCUCAGCACCACCCAGUGACAGCAGACAGAUCAUCCUAUAUCUUCAAUCUUUGUAGUAACUCCAAAAUUAACUGAAGAAAACAGUACAAAGGUUAAAGUACCACAUGUGCUGUCAGUGAAAGCUGCAGCUGUUUUAUUGAUAAAUUUAAAGACAAAAAGUCAAAAGGAUUAAUCACCCCUGUAACUGUGUCACUAUACAUCAGCAUUAACAGUACCU